UUCCCCCUCUCCAAAGGGCUGACCGUGUGCCCUUUUCAGGAACGUGGCAUCUUGGAAUGAAGCUAGUCAUGGCCAAGAUCUCUGGUGAGCAAGGAAAACAUGUUUCUUCUGCCUUCCUUUGGCUGCCUACGUGU